GACGAACGCUGGCGGCGUGCCUAAUACAUGCAAGUCGAACGCUUCUUUCCUCCCGAGUGCUUGCACUCAAUUGGAAAGAGGAGUGGCGGACGGGUGAGUAACACGUGGGUAACCUACCCAUCAGAGGGGGAUAACACUUGGAAACAGGUGCUAAUACCGCAUAACAGUUUAUGCCGCAUGGCAUAAGAGUGAAAGGCGCUUUCGGGUGUCGCUGAUGGAUGGACCCGCGGUGCAUAAGCUAGUUGGUGAGGUAACGGCUCACCAAGGCCACGAGGCAUAGCCGACGUGAGAGGGUGAUCGGACAGACUGGGACUGAGAAACGGCCCAGACUCCUACGGGAGGCAGCAGUAGGGAAUCUUCGGCAAUGGACGGAAGUCUGACCGAGCAACGCCGCGUGAGUGAAGAAGGUUUUCGGAUCGUAAAACUCUGUUGUUAGAGAAGAACAAGGACGUUAGUAACUGAACGUCCCCUGACGGUAUCUAACCAGAAAGCCACGGCUAACUACGUGCCAGCCGCCGCGGUAA
rnacentral:rRNA from 1 species